ACGAGACUUUUUAUUGGAGACAGGACCACACGUGACGCCAAGUGCACACGGGCCCCACGAGCACUUGUCCCGGGCUGGGCUUGUCCCUCGUGUGGACAGUCAGGCAGCCUGGGGGUAUGGCAGCGGGCCAACGUGGCCACUCAGAGCCCAGUGUAUACGCCUUACCCUCCAUCCGCACCAAGGUCCAACGUCAGCGGCCCCGGGUCUGCCAAGUCCUGCCAGCUGUGUGGGCACUCGGAGUUUGGGGGCAGCCCUCUCCCUUCUUACAGAUGAAGAAAUAGGCCCUGGGGAGGUGCCGGCCAGCCCAUCGGACCAAAGCCUUGUGUCCCUGUCUGCACGUCCCUAAACAGUCUCUCCCGUGAGCGUGUCAGUCCUCAAACUCCAUGUCAAGGCCCUGUCCCGGGUCCCCCAACAUCAGCACACACGGCGUCCCCACCUCCCUCCCCUUCUGCUGAAGUGCAACACGACCAGCGGGUCCUGUUGACGGACCUCACGAAUCCUCUGAACCCUGGGUGACGGGGCUCCCAGCUUCCGGGCCAGAGGUCUGUGUGGAUGAGGGUGCGUGGCCGUGGGGGACCUGGAGGCGGUGGGUGCUGAAGUGUGUGGCUGUCACUUCUGCUCCAAGACCAACGUGACAAAACCUAUUCACAUGUGGCUGCAGGGGGAGCAUGCCAUCUGAGAACGGCCCCCGGCUCCGUGCUCAACUCCUGCUGACUGCACUGAGGCCUUCAGGCUAGAAACCCAGGGCCCGUCCACCCUCUGAACUCGGAGAGCUGGGGUGGCCAGCUGGGUGGCGUCUCAGAGAUGGAUCCAGAGUUUGAGCGGCAAGGAUUGAGGCUUAUCCCAUAAAACCUGCCUAUGCCUAUGGAAAGGAACUUUCAGAAGAGGGAAGGGUGAAUGCCCUGCCUGAGGGUCCCAGUAGAGAAAGCCCCCCCUCCCCUGCUUGGUUCUCGCCUCAUCAGAGAAGGAAGGAGAAAGCAGGAGGGGGUUGAUCAGGCAACGUGGAUGGCUGGGUCACAGGUAGACCACUGUCAAGCCAUCGACUCCGUCAUCGUGAUGGUGGUCAGCGUUCGGGUGCAGUGACCGUGGGUCUCAGGCGGCCUUUACAUGCAUCUGUUAUCUCUCCAUCUCUCUCGUGCUGUGGCUCCCCCUCCGGCUCCCCCAGCAUGCCCUUCCUUCUGUGGUCACUCCCAUCUCUGGUGACAGCCACGUGCACUGGAAUCACACUGUGGGCUCCUCCAAGCCGGGGUCCAGGCCUGCCUCGUGCGCCUCAGCUCCUGGCCAUGGGAAGGGGUGCCCUUUAGGAAGAGGGGUGCACUGGCCUUGGCAGUCCUCACCAUGACAGGCCGUGUGCCCAUUCAGCCAGCUUUCGGUGCGGCUGUGUCCCUAGUGAUGCCAGACCUGGGUUCCGGAGGGGGACCAGGGAUCUCCAGCAGGAAGGAACCAGUGUCUCCAGGUUGGUUCGACACUCCUAAAAGCCACCCUCGCCUGGCCCCCAACCAGGCCAAAGCUGUGGCUCGUCUGUUCCUGGGCCAAGCCCUGGCAUGAGCACCCCUGAGCCUUCUGACGCACACGCACAUCUGUGAAUCCAUUAACAUCACGCUUACCAGGAGCGUGCUUGAUGACAGAUCAGAAAGUGCUUGGCACUUUCUAAACAGUGGCUGGCACUGCGAGGCUGGCAGCAGAAGCUGGCUCUGGUCUGGAGCUGGAGGGGGAAGGGGGGUCCCCAGGAUGAGGAUGCAGGGUUCCACAUGGCCUCUGCUCCUUGGCUGGGGGUCCCAGCAGCCAGGGGCAGGGGCGGCUGGCUCUCUUGGUUUCCAGAGGAUGGGGAAGGGGCCAGCAGGGGGGCCCAUGUGGUCGUCUUACACACAUCUCCAGCACACUGCCCCCACCCUGCCUGCACCUGGCACUCCUGUUACCACCCUGGUGACUCUGGGCUGUCAUCGCCAAUUCCUUGGCUGUCUCUGAUUCCAGCUGAGGGCCAGGAGAGCAGGGACUGGGUCUUGUCCGGAAAACCUUGCCAAACGCCCAACAACCAGGUGAAGCUGGAGGGGACCGGCCAGGUCCCCUGGCACAUCAGAGGCCCUCGGGGCCUUUCCUGCAGUCCGUGGCCAACUCCGGUUUAUUAUUAUCGAAGCACGACCUUGGUGGGAGGGGAAGGGAGGGCUGGAUCCCACACUCCCCACUCAACUGCCUUCAGGUGUCCUGGUUAGGAACCACUCCCAGCCCCUGCCUGAGAGGGUCGCUGGGAUGUCCACCCUCUGGGCCGCUUUCCAGGCUGAUCUCCUGGCUCUCUCAGGUCCCUACAGGCGGAAACUCGGCAAAACAGCCCUGGGCUUGGUUCUGACACCAAGGCUGGUUGAGCAGGGGAUCAUGGGCUGAAGUCCCUGCUCUGCCCCUCCUGGCCUCUGGCCUGGGGAACCUGCGGUUCUUGUUACGCAGGAGCAGUACCAGUGCACUGAGCGUUGAGAGGAUUCCAUGAGAAAGGUCUCUGAGUGCCUGGGAGGUGCUUCAGUCUCCCCCACUUGCCCAGUGACUCCCUCCCUUUCCCCUGAUCCAAGGUGGCAACACCCACAGUCAGCAGCAGGGGGCAGCCUCCCCGCUGAGACAGCCAUGUCCAGGCUGACCAAGUACCAGCCACCAAACCUCUCUGGGUCCAGCAUUCUCUGUCCAGCCUGCUCCUCGGAGGACUAGGAUCCCAGAGUCCCUGCUUGGAAAUUGAUGGUGGGGGUGACACAGCCCCGCCAAUGCCCCGAAAAUCAAGAGGUCUUCACUGGCCCAGCACAGGUCCCGUGCCUCCCACAGAUCUCACUUCCUCAGGAAGACUGCUUGACUUCCUGUCGAGGUGGAGGACGUCUGCCAACCCAGGUGCCCCCUGUUGGUGUUUGUCAUUCUGGUCCCAGCUGCCUAUUUCCAUGUCGGGCUCCCCCCUCCACCAGUGUGGAAGCUCCAUGCGAUCAACAUGACUGUCCCGCUCACUGUGGAACCCCAGCAUCUGAGGCGGGCCAGCUCACAAUAGGUGCUCAAUAAAUGCUGGCCUAGUGGA